UACGUAGGGUGCAAGCGUUGUCCGGAAUUACUGGGCGUAAAGGGCUCGUAGGCGGCCAACUAAGUCGGAUGUGAAAUCCCCAGGCUCAACUUUGGAACUGCAUCCGAUACUGGAUGGCUUGAAUCCGGGAGAGGGAUGCAGAAUUCCAGGUGUAGCGGUGAAAUGCGUAGAUAUCUGGAGGAAUACCGGUGGCGAAGGCGGCAUCCUGGACCGGCAUUGACGCUGAUGAGCGAAAGCUAGGGGAGCAAACGGG
rnacentral:rRNA from 1 species